AUGGGAGGCCCAUCUCUGGGCUCACCAGCCCUGCCGUCUUUGUCACAGUCUGUCCAGGCCAACGUGUCCUCUAGCUCAGGUUACUCCUUCUCCUCCAUUCAUUUUUUCAGGAAACAUUCUAGAACCUUCCUCCAAGGGCCCAACACUGAGCAACACAGACCAGGACUGGCCCUAUGGUGAAGUCAGGUCUGGGUCAUGGAAUUGAAUGGGGUGUGUUGCCACGCACCCGCAGGAGGGGCUCUUCCCCAUGAAUUCUGGGCACAGACACCCAGAUCUCAGCAGGCCCCUCACCCCACAGCGACUCCCAGGAUGGGGAGCGGGAGCCCAAGUCCCUCCCACCUGGUCCCUUAGUUUCUGGAGGGUCUGUCUCAUUCUGCCUCUGGGCAGACGUGAUCUUCAGCCCCAUGUUACAGAUGCUUAGAGAAGCUGAAGAUUUGCACAGUCUCAGAGGAAACAGAGCCAGAACCUGGACCCGUGUGUGUACCCGGACCAAACCCUCCAUGGUGGAAGGAAUAGGAGUGGGAAGGGGAGGAGGAGACAUAGGGUCCAGGAGGUUCCAUACGUCCAGGAGGUCCCACAUGGACCUCAGAGAGGUCUCCACAGCAGGAGAGCAAAUGACAUCCACAGUCACAGAUCACCGAGUGAUUUCAGAUGAAGAUGGUGGUGGCAGUUUCCCCAUCAGCGCAGUAGAUCUCACUGGAGAAGUCACUGCGACAGUGUGUCUGAGAGCAGAGGGCAAAGGCUGUCUGGGCCUUGUGAAGCUCAAUGCUGCCCUCUGGUGCCCAGAAUGC